AACGCUAGCUACAGGCUUAACACAUGCAAGUCGAGGGGCAGCAUGGUCUUAGCUUGCUAAGGCCGAUGGCGACCGGCGCACGGGUGAGUAACACGUAUCCAACCUGCCGUCUACUCUUGGACAGCCUUCUGAAAGGAAGAUUAAUACAAGAUGGCAUCAUGAGUCCGCAUGUUCACAUGAUUAAAGGUAUUCCGGUAGACGAUGGGGAUGCGUUCCAUUAGAUAGUAGGCGGGGUAACGGCCCACCUAGUCUUCGAUGGAUAGGGGUUCUGAGAGGAAGGUCCCCCACAUUGGAACUGAGACACGGUCCAAACUCCUACGGGAGGCAGCAGUGAGGAAUAUUGGUCAAUGGGCGAGAGCCUGAACCAGCCAAGUAGCGUGAAGGGUGACUGCCCUACGGGUUGUAAACUUCUUUUAUAAAGGAAUAAAGUCGGGUAUGCAUACCCGUUUGCAUGUACUUUAUGAAUAAGGAUCGGCUAACUCCGUGCCAGCAGCCGCGGUAAUACGGAGGAUCCGAGCGUUAUCCGGAUUUAUUGGGUUUAAAGGGAGCGUAGAUGGAUGUUUAAGUCAGUUGUGAAAGUUUGCGGCUCAACCGUAAAAUUGCAGUUGAAACUGGCAGUCUUGAGUACAGUAGAGGUGGGCGGAAUUCGUGGUGUAGCGGUGAAAUGCUUAGAUAUCACGAAGAACUCCGAUUG
rnacentral:rRNA from 1 species